GAACUUCGAUAGGCCCAGGUGCUCAACACAAAAGCAAAAGAGGACAGGACAUUGUUAGACCGCCUGACAAGGUUUUCUGACUGGAAAAGAGCCGUCAAAGCUAUUGCUCGUCUUAAGCGCCAUGCUAAGCAAAUCAAGGGUCUCAAACUUAAAACAAAUGAAGCCACAAGUGUUGAGGAAAGACAGGAAGCAGAGCUUUUCAUCAUCAAAUUGGUUCAAACGGAAGUAUUCAGCACUGAAAUCAAUGGAGAUUAGCAAGAGUAGCACAGGUGUACCCUAGCACUGAUGGAAGAGUCAGAAAGGUAAAACUGUUAAUUAGUGACUCAACCUUAGAUAACCAGGGAAAACGCACUACAAAGCCAGUCUAUCUUGACAGGCCUGUAUACAAGACAGUUUUACUGCUUGAAGCAGAAUGAAUGUUAUGGUUAUUUUGUGAGGUGAAAUCCCAAAGGAUGUGAUUUGGUGGGAGUUUAACUGCCAUAAAUGUUAUUCAUGUCAUUAUUAAUGUUAUUCAUGUCAUUAUUAAUAGGUUUUACAUAAUAUCAUUAUUAUUUGUACAACUUGUAUUUUGAAUAUUGAUUUUGCUUGUAUUUAUGUGAUAGGAACUAUCUGUACAUUCUAUGUUGUGUUGGGACGCUUUUAGUGGUGACAAGUUCCAGACAUCGCGGUAAAGUAGCGGCGGUAAAGUUUAGUACUCUGAAAGAUAAGUUAAAUUAACGACGUGUUUAUUUACAAGUAUUCUUGUUUCUAAGUGGACCCAUUUCCCUCUCAGUUGUGUGCAGCCAGCGAGUUCGACGGUGGAUUGAUGACGGUGGAGAAUUUAGUAGAAGAAUAAAUCCAUCAGUAACCAGAA